rnacentral:rRNA from 1 species
UGCAAGUCGUACGAGAGUUUUUAACUCUAGUGGCGGACGGGUGAGUAACACGUGAGAAUCUACCCUAAGGAGGGGAAUAACAGCUGGAAACGGUUGCUAAUACCCCAUAUGCCGUAAGGUGAAAGGAUUUAUCCACCUUAGGAAGAGCUCGCGUCUGAUUAGCUAGUUGGUGAGGUAAAGGCUCACCAAGGCCAUGAUCAGUAGCUGGUUUGAGAGGACGAUCAGCCACACUGGGACUGAGACACGGCCCAGACUCCUACGGGAGGCAGCAGUGGGGAAUUUUCCGCAAUGGGCGAAAGCCUGACGGAGCAAUACCGCGUGAGGGAUGAAAGCCUGUGGGUUGUAAACCUCUUUUCUCAAGGAAGAAGUUCUGACGGUACUUGAGGAAUAAGCAUCGGCUAACUCUGUGCCAGCAGCGGCGGUAAUACAGAGGAUGCAAGCGUUAUCCGGAAUCACUGGGCAUAAAGCGUUUGUAGGUGGUUUGAUAAGUCUGCUGUUAAAGACUAGGGCUUAACCCUAGGAAAGCAGUGGAAACUGUCUGACUUGAGUAUGGUAGAGGUACAGGGAAUUCCUAGUGUAGCGGUGAAAUGCGUAGAUAUUAGGAAGAACACCAAUGGCGAAAGCACUGUACUGGGCCACAACUGACACUGAGAGACGACAGCUAGGGGAGCAAAUGGGAUUAGAUACCCCAGUAGUCCUA